rnacentral:tRNA from 1 species
GGGGCGAUGGUGGAAUUGGUAGACACGCCAGUCUUAGGAACUGGUCUUUUACGAGGUGAAGGUUCGAGUCCUUUUCGCCCUA